UUAUAUGUCCGUCUUAACUCGGCGUCGCCUUGGUAUAAAUUCUGCAUAAAAUUUUAUACCUCAACACAGGAGCCUACAAAAGCUCGGCUCUGUCCUGGCUCGCCCCAAACACCCGGGGAUCUCCUCUUGGCUCAACUCUACUGCAUUGUUUAUUUAAUUUUGUUUUUCUAAAUGAGAUUGGGAGAAGUGGAGAGAAAAAGAAAGGGAUAUGUUUCACACAUAGGUAACCGUGACGUCAAGGUUAAAAACUCCACAAUGCGGACCAGCAGAGAAAAUCCUGGUGCUUUCUCCGGUGUUGCUGUUGUCGGGCGUCGCUGUGGUCUGGGUGGCGCCGGGCAGGGAUGUGGUGUCAAUGUGGUGGUGCUGGCGCCGGGCAGACCCGCGGUGAAAUUUGAAACAAACAGGAACGUUCUGGAAGAAAGUGGCCGUCUUUGAUGAGAUCUUACCUGGAGAUUUCACCUGUCGUCACCUGAGUCUGCGGCUUGUCGGCGGUUUUCUCUUUGAAAUCUAGGACCAAGAUUUCUUUGAUCCGGUGUUUAGACCGUCACACACUCCAUGAUGAGGAACAUGAAAGGGAAACAACAAGAAUGGGUCCUGGACAGUCAUAAAAAUACAGCGCCCUUCUUUUGUAUUCUCCCAGCUUUCAUGUGCAUUGU